UUUAAACAGAAACCUUCCCCUUUAUUUAUUGAUGGACUGUCUAGAGAUUGCUACUCUUUUCUUCUUCUGUUUCUUCACGAGAUAUUUUCUAAACUGUGUCUUGCUUCAACUAACCCUUAUGGCUUUUUUGACAAUUCUAGCAUAAAUCCAGCACCUACUCGCGCCAGUCUUCUAAACACUGGCAACUUUAAUCAAUCCGAAUUUUGGUUAUGUCAACAUAUUGGUAUACAGAAGAAGCUAACUAGUUUUUGUUUCUGCCAAUGCAAACACCUGGUGGACACAGACUGGACUAUGGAUGUACAAAAGGGUAUGGUAUCUACAAACAGGAAGACAAAAAUCAUGCCACCUCUCUUUCUGGUAAACUGAUUUGGUGCUUGGAAAAUUCCCUGGAAGCUCAAGUUCUAUUCUUUGUUCAGGUGAUGUUAUUGAAUGGACAAAUUUCCCUUUUCAUUGGAAACAGAAAUGGUACUGGACCCUUUCUAGAUCUCUUGCCUCACAGCUUCUAACCCAAAUCUUAUUUCUACAGCAACCAACACAGCUUCUCGUUUGUAAAACUUCUCAAGAUGUUUCAAAAUGGAAGAAAUGCCGAAACCCCCAAAGAAUCCUUGAGUUGGUAUGGUUGUUUUUAGUUGAAGACAUUUGAGAUUCCACAGAUGCAGAAAAGAAUCUUCUCAGAGCUUCCUUCUUCUGAUUAAAAGCAGCCACUUCUGGGAAAUAAGGCUGGCAUAAAUCCUCUCUUGAGAGUGGCUUUACUCCCAGAAACAAGACCAAGGGUAAAUCUACCAUAAAUCCCCUCUCCAGGGGAGUUUGAUGGCCAUAAAGAAGAUGAAAAGAGUGCUCACACCUGCAUAAACAAAUGUUAUCACAAACUUUCUUAUCUCUUGUUUGUUCUCCCAAAAAACUAUUUGUCUUUCCUAAAGAAAUCCAUUUGUUUUCCUUAUAGAAGUCUUUUCUCCCGGCUUGCUUCUCCUAUUAAGUUAGAUAUAUAAACUUCUAAUUUAACCUUUUAGGAAACUACUUCUUUUGUAAGCUCUUGUAUGCAAAUGAACUGUUUUAUUCUCUUGUUAAUGUGUAUUUUCACAGCAUAUCCUCCACCCAGAUCCUGAAUUUGAGAGGGUAGAGGAAAAGUUUUCCUCUCCAACACUUUCGUUCUCUGUCAAUGGCUUCACUGGAUUGCUAGUCUUCCUAUUAAAAGCGGCAAUUUAUUCUUCCAAAGUUAGUUUCUAAAUAAUAUUCCAUAGAAUUUUCUUUUUAAAUAACCAGGUAAUACCUACGUUGACAUCAAGAGAGCACCAUGGUCAGUAAUUUUAAUACCCCAGGAACAUACUUUUAAAUAUACAUUGUUUUUCAACCAAUAUUGGAAAGGGAAAGUUCCAAACCAUACUAAUUGGACCUACAUUGAACAUGGUAAAUUCCUCCUCAAAUAGUUGCUAAUGGUUUGCUGGGACAGUACUUCCCAUCUGUAAUAACUCUUAAAAUUAAAUUACUAAUAUCUUUGGAUUUCUGGAUCAUCUUUUACUUAAUAUCCAAAAAUAAAUUGUGAGGUUUUUUAAAUGCCUGGGUAAAAUUCUGAAAUAGUAGUUUAUUUCAAUUUUGAUAGCUGCUGAGAUUCACACUAGCUUUUCUUCAGUCGACAAAGUAAACAAUAAAACUUCAGCAAAACUGGAAAAUAUAAGAACCCCCAAUAUAUAGUCCCCCAAAGGAUCCAGCAGGUUAUAGAGUCCAAAGCCCUUAUUUUAUAAAUGAGUAAACUGAAGACAAAAGCACCAAUGUAGUUGCUUGAAGGUUAUAAAAUGGCAGGGAUACAUGUAUGUGUAUAUAUAUAUAUAGCUCCUUA
rnacentral:lncRNA from 1 species